rnacentral:rRNA from 1 species
UACGUAGGGUGCAAGCGUUAAUCGGAAUUACUGGGCGUAAAGCGUGCGCAGGCGGUGAUGUAAGACAGGUGUGAAAUCCCCGGGCUUAACCUGGGAACUGCAUUUGUGACUGCAUCGCUGGAGUGCGGCAGAGGGGGAUGGAAUUCCGCGUGUAGCAGUGAAAUGCGUAGAUAUCUGGAGGAACACCGGUGGCGAAGGCGGCAUCCUGGACCGGCAUUGACGCUGAUGAGCGAAAGCCAGGGGAGCAAACAGG